GUGCCUGUGAGUCUGGGGGCCUCAGAUUCCUGAAGGAGUAAAGGCAGGCAGCACAUGGUGAUCCUAGUAAAGAACAAGAUCUCUCUUAUGGAUCUUUGGACUCCAUUUAGAAAGUAUUCCCAUCUAUUAAGGAGAAGAGUGAAGGAGGCGCCUUCUUUAGCACUGGACCCAUAGAAUUUACCUUCAAAAUCCUACUCCUGUGACACCUACAAAUGUUGGUUUUUGUACACAGUGUGGGACUGUAUUCACAAUUACACUGAUGGGAAUAUGCAAAUAAUCUUCUGAAGUCAUGACUAAAAAAAAAGUUGCUUCAACGUUAGAGCAGUGUAAAUGAGGGCAGAACAAUUUUGCAGUAGAACAGCCAGAAAAAGCCACAGCUAAAGCAGUAAGAAAUCAUGAGAAACAGUAUCUUCAGUCAAGACGUGAAAGGAGACGGUAUACUGAUGAAGAAAAAAUACAGAAAUGUUGUCUUACAUCCUAAGGGCUGCAGCAGUAAUACAUUGCAGGAGGCUCUCAGCAUGCAGCUACUACCAUCUAGCUAAAUCCUUUCAACUAGGAACAUCGUCUUC